rnacentral:rRNA from 1 species
GGAGCUGCAGCCGCUGUUUGCAGGGAUCAGCACGACAAUUAUCUUGGAGCAUCUGUGGUGGUUUUUGAUGGGCUAGUCGAUGCUCCAUGUUUGGAAGCUCAAGCAUGCAAUGAAGCUCUUGCCCUAGCAUAAGACUUGAUCCUCACACAUGCAAUAAUAGCGUCUGAUUGCAUCCAGGUUAUACAAGACAUCAACGGAUCUUCGAGUUCUUCUUCUUAUGCUUUAGUUUUGAAUGAAAUUAGAGAUAGAGCUACAGAUUUUGUUAGCAUUACUUUUCGGUUUGAGAAUAGGGAGGCAAACUUUGAAGCACAUGCCUUGGCAAAGGCGGCUUCGUCACUCCCUGCUGGGCGCCAACUGUGGCUAGGGAACCCACCAGACAUUAUUUGUAUUCCUUCUGUGAUCAUUGAAUAA